rnacentral:sRNA from 1 species
GCUGGGCAUGGUGGUGCGUGCCUGUAGUCCCAGCUACUCAGGAGGCUGAGGCAGGAGAAUUGCUUGAACCUGGGAGGCGAAGUUGCAGUGAGCUGAGAUCACGCCACUGUACUCCAGCCUGGGUGACAGAGCAAGACUCUGUCUCAA